GGCCCUCUGACACGUCACGUUCCUUUAUUAGGUGCCUAGCAUGAGGUAGAUAAGAAAGCUGACGACUUUGCUGAGGAUGGGGCUGCACCGCUCUUGGUUUUCGCCUUCUCCACGUCUCUCAGCAGAAUGGUACGCUUCCGUGAUUUCCUCUGACCUCUCUUCUACAUCUGGACAUUGGAAUACGAGACUCACAUGUGAAGGCCAUUUAAAUACCACGCCAAAGUUAGCAGCACCAAGGGUGAAAGCAAAUGGUUUCCCGCGAUUAUUCAACUCUUAGUCACUAAGCAUUAAAAUCAGUGGAGUAGGAAGGUAAUU
rnacentral:lncRNA from 1 species